rnacentral:tRNA from 1 species
CUAAGGAUAUAUUCGGAACAUCUUCCUUGAGAAGAUGAAGAGGAAUGACAUUGACAUAUUGUAUUCAGUUUUGAAUGCUCAUUAGAGUAUUCUAUAAAUGAAUGGGCCUAUAGCUCAGCUGGUUAGAGCGCACGCCUGAUAAGCGUGAGGUCGGUGGUUCGAGUCCACUUAGGCCCACCAUAACACUUCUCUUUUUACUAAUCCCGGGGCCUUAGCUCAGCUGGGAGAGCGCCUGCCUUGCACGCAGGAGGUCAACGGUUCGAUCCCGUUAGGCUCCACCAAUACUUGUUCAUUGAAAACUGAAUGAAACGACAUUGAAAGUAAUCAAGUAAUCAACCGAGUCAUAGUAAUAUGACUCAAGCAAAUCUUUUUAACCUUCUAAUUCCUAUCGCUAGGAAGACGCUGGACCUUUUAUA